GUGAAGAACGCAGCGAAAUGCGAUAAGUAGUGUGAAUUGCAGAAUUCAGUGAAUCAUCGAAUCUUUGAACGCACAUUGCGCCCCUCGGUAUUCCGUGGGGCAUGCCUGUUCGAGCGUCAUUUACCCCUCAAGCACUGCUUGGUGUUGGGCGUCUGUCCCGCUUCGCGCGCGGACUCGCCCCAAAGGUAUUGGCAGCGGUCGUGCCAGCUUCUCGCGCAGCACAUUGCGCUUCUCGAGGCGGUCGAUCGGCGUCCACGAAGCUCACCUCCACCGUUUGACCUCGGAUCAGGUAGGGAUACCCGCUGAACUUAAGCAUAUCAAUAAGCGGAGGA
rnacentral:misc_RNA from 1 species